rnacentral:rRNA from 1 species
UACGUAGGGGGCAAGCGUUGUUCGGAAUUACUGGGCGUAAAGGGCGCGUAGGCGGCACGGCAAGUCAGGAGUGAAAGGCCUGGGCUCAACCUGGGAAUUGCUUUUGAAACUGCCGAGCUAGAGUGCGGAAGGGGCAACUGGAAUUCCCAGUGUAGCGGUGAAAUGCGUAGAUAUCAGGAGGAACACCCGUAGCGAAGGCGGCACUCUGGGCCGAUACUGACGCUGAGGAGCGAAAGCGUGGGGAGCGAACAGG